rnacentral:rRNA from 1 species
GAGUUUGAUCCUGGCUCAGGACGAACGCUGGCGGCGUGCUUAACACAUGCAAGUCGAGCGGAAAGGCCCUUCGGGGUACUCGAGCGGCGAACGGGUGAGUAACACGUGAGUAACCUGCCCUGGACUUUGGGAUAACCCUCGGAAACGGGGGCUAAUACCGGAUACGACCACUGGAUGCAUGUUUGGUGGUGGAAAGUUUUUCGGUCUGGGAUGGGCUCGCGGCCUAUCAGCUUGUUGGUGGGGUGAUGGCCUACCAAGGCGACGACGGGUAGCCGGCCUGAGAGGGCGACCGGCCACACUGGGACUGAGACACGGCCCAGACUCCUACGGGAGGCAGCAGCGGGGAAUAUUGGACAAUGGGCGCAAGCCUGAUCCAGCCAUGCCGCGUGAGUGACGAAGGUCUUCGGAUUGUAAAACUCUUUUGGCGGGGACGAUAAUGACGGUACCCGCAGAAUAAGCCCCGGCUAACUUCGUGCCAGCAGCCGCGGUAGUCGGCCCA